CACAUGGCUUAGGCAUGCAUGAUAUAUUUAGUGGAGUUCGGUUAUGAGUAUAAGAAAGUGGAUUAUUUUAAUUACCAUGAAGGAUAAAUAUUAAAAACCAUUCACACAAAAUUAAAAUAAAAAUUAAAAUUUGUGAAACCAAAGCGAGUCAAGUGCGUGAUUUUAUGAAUAUAUAACGAAAAAGAAAAAAAAUGUUCAUAGAAACGUAAACACUUACUAAGGUUAUGUACAGUAGCGGUAAACAAUGUGUAACGCCGAACCUGUAUCAACAAGUUCGAACUUGUGAAUAAAUACCAGGUCAAUGAGAUAAAAACAAAUAGAAAAAUAUAUUUUGAAUAAAAAGAUGGAAAAAUAAUGUCCUAAUUCAUACUAUGAGGAAUUAACCGACUGGAUGUGAAAACAUAUUGUGGAGUAGGAACUGAAUCCUCAUUUGCUAUGCAAGAGCAUUGAGAAUGAUUCAAAAUCUUCUAAAACCAAAAAAAAAUAGAAUUGCAUCGCUAACCAUCAUCGAAUUAAGACAACAGUCAAAGAAGAUGUAGGAUUAUCGGGCAAGUUUGAUAGUAAGAAUUGAAUUCGACGCACCUUGGAAAGUGAAAGUGAAAGCAGAUUGAAUUUUUAAGAUGAAAAUACUAAUGCGCUUGUCGGUCAGAAAUUGAAUGUCUGAAAAUAUGUAGAAAA